rnacentral:lncRNA from 1 species
GAGGAAGAAGGCAGAAGCACUUCUAAGCUCUUUUCUAAACUCUUUCUAGCUCUAGGACUUUUUUUUUUUCUUUUCUCAAUAAAUACUUAUGAAGCACCUACUAUGGGCAGGCACUAUUUUUAUGUCCUGGACCAUCUAAGUGCAAGGAGGCUGAUGCUUUACUUGACAAAAAGACCAAGUAUUAAAAUAGAAUACUGCACUAAAUGGAAGAAAAGAAACUCAGGUUCAUGAAGUGGCAAAGACUCACUAAAAAUUAACUUCAUCUCCUCAUUGGCCACCGAUUAUGGUGGUUUCUGAAGCCUGGGAAUCACUUUAGAAGGUCCCAGUUAUGUGGAUUCCCCCUGCGGGUUAAGAACACUUUAACUAGGGCUUGCCUAAGAUUUGACAGAUGUAAUCAAGAGAGUCAGAAGUAGCCAACCCUUAGCAAGCUAUCUGAACUCUAGAAAGCAGCAUUUCUGAAGUUAUCUUAGUCCUUGGACUUUUUAGUUAAAGGGUCAAAAGGAAAACCCUUUCUCCUCAGGUUAUUUAAGGUGGGUUUCUGUCACUUGCCACCAACAGUCCUGAUUAAUAACCUCCUCUUCCCAUUACCUUAUAUCUUUCAUUGCACUACCACAAUCUAUCCUGUUUGCUGGCUUGCUAACUUGUUCAUAGUAUCCCCACCCUCCUUCAUCUGAAUUGUGAAACAAUGCAGCUAGACUGUCAAGGAUAUGUAGGUAUUAAUGGCUGCACCUGUGGCGUAUGGCAGUUCCUGGGCCAGGGAUUGAAUCCCAACUGCAACUAUGACCUAUGCCACAGCUGAAGCAAUGCCAGAUGCUUUAACCCACUGCACUGAGUGGGGAUUGAACCCAAGCUUCCACAGUGACCCACACCAGCUGUAGUCAGAUUCUUAACCCACUGUGCUACCACAGAACUCCUGUGAAGGAUAUUUUAAAAGAAGAAUUUCAAUAAUGUUUUUAUGUUUUCCCACAAUGUUCCAGCAGUAUUGUGGAUAUAAGUAUUAUCUACUUGAAGAGCCAACAUCACCUAAUGUAGCUUUAUGUAGCUUAGGGACAAAAUGGUUAAUUAAUUGAGAGUUUGGAUUCUGGUCUCUGAAAUCAAAUAUGUAUUAGCUGUUUUACUCUGAACAAGCUAGGUUAACUUCUAAGCCUUCAUUUCCUCAUCCAGUGGGAUGAUGUAUGGACCUCAAUCAGCACAGUACGAGGAGCAAAGGCGAAGUGUCUAGUAAAAAUGAGCCAUACAAGUUCUAGUAUGAUAAAAAUCACUACACUUCAUAAUGACACUUUAUACAGAUUACACACUGCAUAUAAAGGUUGGGACAGCAUUUAUUGCUCUUUUGAGAUAUCCUCUGUAAGAACCUUCUUUUACGCUAGUUUUAAGGUGACAUUACCGUUUGGAGAAAUGGAUUCCAGCUCACCUUGGUUAUACUAGUACAUGAAAUCAAGGCUCUCAUAUAGAAGAGCUUAUACCAUUAACUCUAGUGAGACAUAUAAACAGAACAAAGGGUGAUUUCUUUAGAAAAACACACAAAAAAGGUUUACUUUCACAAAGCAACAAAGAAAAAAAUGGAGACCUACCCACAUAAAUACUGGUAUAAAGUUAGCAUCAAGAUAUACUGUUUAAUUUCAGAUAGUUCACCUUUACAAUAAAACAUUUCACAAUAUUUAAAGUAUGAUAGACAUGAUUUUACUGACCACUUUAAUAAUCUCAAAAUGAAAUCUACGAAGCAUUGGUCACAUGUGCAAUUCCAGCAAACAAAAAGAAAAAAAAAAACAGCAAAACAAACAAAAAUUGUUAUUCAUCCAGAUUAUUCUAGCAAAAGCAGGUGCUGUGCCUGAACUGUCUGGUUUGCAAACUGCUGUCUUCAUCUCUCGCUGGAUAAAGCGAAUAUAAAGCUAAAUAUACAGCGAGUAGAUUUUAAAACCAGGAAAACUUGGGCCACUUAAAGUAACUUAUUCUAGUUUACUGACCGUUACCCAGCGACCUGAUUUCUAAAAUAGUUGACAAAGAAAAAACAAUUUACACUGCAAAUUCCGGCUUUCCUAGCUUUAUAAAAAGGAUUUUUUAAAGUCCCCAAAGGGCAAAGGGCUUAAAGGGUCACCUCCCCUCGCCCCAGAAGGGAAAUGUCAAAAUCGUUUUUUGUUUUGUCUUUACUCAUAACGGUGUGGACUCUAACAAUCGUGAUCUUAACGCUUCACAGCUGAUAGGCGGCACGGCCGGUGUUUACGGUACAGGAAGGGCUGGAAGCGCCCAUCUAUGUGGGCAUAAGCAUCACCUGCGCCCUGGAGAGCAGGGCGCACUUCCCAAAGGCUCCCAACCAGCUACAUUAGCCCCAAAGUCUUAAAUUUAAGCGUCUGGGGUCCUUAAGACUAUGAAUCAUGUUUGAUACUACACAGAUAGAUGAUGAAACGCCAGAAAACGGCAGAAAGGUUCCGCAAUAAACUGGUAGACAUGUUUGCUAGGGAAUCAGCAGACAUAUUUUUCAAUCCACCAAAUCUUUUACCAAAGGAAGCUUUAGAUAAACUCUAACCUCUUAGGAAACAUUAACUUCAGGGAAAGACUAUAACAACUAACUUGAACCCUUCGCUGAAGGCCCGUCCGUCGGCAACUCAACAGGUUAUCCUCAUUCCUCCAGGCCUGCGACCGCGGCUUGCAGAGAAGGGGCGGCCCCGGGGCAGGUGGGAGACCGGCCCGAGACUCAGUUUCCCCCAGCCUCAUCAGUGCACCUCCAGGUCGGUCCCGUGCCUUCGGCCUAAGACUUGCAAGAACUUUCUGCACAACCAGGUUCCAACUUGGAAACUCCCCAUGGGCAGCGUGCCUCCUCCCGGGACCUGGGCUGGCGACCCUGGCAGCCACUACUUACCCUCCAAGUCUGUGCUGUCGGCGACAAUCUUCAGCAGCGCUAUCGCCAGCACGGCCCCUAGGGCCAGCACCGCCAAGAAACCUCGCGAGCCGAGUCCCAUUGUUCCGAGGGCAAGACGCGGAGGCCUCGUGGGCUUGCAACCGAGGUAGCGGCUGCGCGAGUGAGAGAGGAGCCUUCGCGCACCCGAGUCCGCUCCGCGUCCCCUUCCGCCGCGCACGCCUCCCCUCCUGCUGCCUAACCCGCAGAGACCAAAUAGGGCGCGGGAGCCGGGCCUAGAGGGGGCGUCGCGUGCCGGCCACAGCUGCGGGACGGGACGGGGC